CUGAUCUCUCUGUCGUUGAAGGUCUGAUCUCUCUGUCCAUGAAGGUCUGAUCUCUCUGUCCAUGAAGGUCUGAUCUCUCUGUCCAUGAAGGUCUGAUCUCUCUGUCAUUGAAGGUCUGAUCUCUCUGUCAUUGAAGGUCUGAUCUCUCUGUCAUUGAAGGUCUGAUCUCUCUGUCGAUGAAGGUCUGAUCUCUCUGUCGUUGAAGGUCUGAUCUCUCUGUCCAUGAAGGUCUGAUCUCUCUAUCAAAUCAAAUCAAAUCACUUUAUUGUCA